rnacentral:lncRNA from 1 species
GACGAGCGCGUUCAAGGGCGUCACGGGGGUUACGACCCUUCGACUUACCAGUAAGUGGGCAGUAUUUUAUGUAUUUACCUAUAUACUAUUGAUUUUUCCCAGAAAUUGAAUUUAAAUGAAAGUAUGUUUUAAAAUGCCAUGCAUACAUAUAUAUGAAAUAUAUGAAUUAGUAAUUGUUGCAUAUAUAUGUUAAAUGGUGUUAUGGAUGCACAUGUGAGUAUCAGGUGAGUUUAUAUUGUUCAUAUGAUUUAUUGAUGAUGUGAAUUGUGUUGAGAGCUCAUAACCUGCACCCAUGGUGUUAGUGCUUAUAUUAUUCACCCCGCACCAUACACUCACCUUGGAUCCAAGUAGGUGCAUGUUGUACAGACCAUUAGAAGGUUCCGACAUGUCGUACAGACCAUUAGAGGUGGUUCCGACUUAUAGGUGAUCUUAGAUUAUUAUACAGCUGUUGAUGAGAGAAGCACUAGAGCGUAUUCUUACACCAUUCUUAUCGUACAUACUACUUUAGGUAGUUCCGGUUUAUGUGCAGAGUAGUGCCGUAUAGGUCACAGUGGUGACUCCGGUUGGAUUGGAUAUUGAGCUAUAGAAUUAACCGUACAGGACAACUGCAGGGUCUCCGGUUGAUUCAUUAUUUCACCUGUUAUAUUGAUGCAUUCUUAUUCUGUUGUUGACGUUUAUAGCAUGGCAUACUUUCUGGUUUUUGAUAAAGAUUGGUGAUUUGAGAUAUUUGAAGAAUUAUAUGCAUAUUAUGUUAUUUUCUGGGAAAGUAUACAGGUUUUACAGCAAAUGGUUAGAAUGUUAUUAAAUGAAAUGUUUUCAAAAGCUUGUUUUACUGACCCACUCAAUCUUGUUUUGUGCCCCUCCAGGUUCUAGUUAGCGGUGUUGGUGGCUCACGAGGAUUCCCACGACGUUCUGACAGACUACUUAAAUGUAGGACUCACCUUCGGGUGUUGUAAUUUAGUAAUGGUCCUACUUGACUACACUUAGUACUUAUGCUCUGAAUAUGUGUGUUUCAUACUUAAACUCACUCUAGCAUGUUAGUUGUAUAUUAUUGCUAGUAGUUGGUUUUUAUUCCUUCGUAUUUCUCUUAUCUUAUUACUUAUGCGUCGCACUUUUGGUUACGUCACGCUCACGUGACGGCCGCCUUGAUUCUAGGAUCGGGGUGUGUCAUUUAAAUUGUUUGUUUAACACACAAGCUUAUUUAUUUAGAGAUUUUAAUUUAAUUAGUAAGAUAAAUUAGGAAUAUUUGUGUUCAAAUAGUUUAUUUUAUUCACUUAAAUUGUUAUGAAGAAAUUGAAAUAAAUAUUAUUUGUAAAUAUUUAUGUUAAAUUGACAAUAUUUAAUAUACCAUAAAUUGGUAAUAUUUAGUAAUAUAGGUAUAUAUUAUGUUAAUUAAUUAAAUAUUUCACUCUAAUUUCUAUGAGGAUAUACAAAACUUGAAUUUAUUGUCGCAUAUAUCCGACACAAGUUCUGUCGAUUUUAGAGCCUUAAUAGACAGAAAAUUCAUUUCCUGACGCUGACAAUUCUGUCACUUAUUAUAUCCGCCAUUGCAUCCAUUUUUUGUCGGAUUUUGCUUAAUAUUCGACAGUAAUAUACGUUUCUGGUUAGUUAUCGUACCGACACUAAUAAAUGGUUUCGUAGUAGUGACAUUUGAGUUUUUUAUUUUUUUAGUACAACGAUAUAUUGGGUAAAUUACAUAAAACUACCUCAACUAUUGGGUCAUUAACAGUUUCAUACCUGUCUUUAAAAAGUUUCAAUGUCAUACCUUAUCUUCGAAUUUGUUGUAAUGUCAUAUUAAUCUGUUAAAUGCUGACGUGGCUUAAGACGGGGCCCAUUUUCUAUUAAAAAAUUAAUAAAAAUUAUUAAAAUAAUAAUUUACCCUAAAAA